CGGGAGUGACUUGAUUUAUUUAUCCACGCUUCUGAGAGCAAUCAAUGAAGUACAGGAUAUAAAAAUGGUUGAAUUUCUUAAUAUGAACCG